rnacentral:rRNA from 1 species
AGGCAUCUUUUUAUUUUUAAAAGACCUAGCAAUAGGUAUGCUUAGGGAAGAGCUUGCGUCACAUUAGUUAGUUGGUGGGGUAAUGGCCUACCAAGACGAUGAUGUGUAGCCGGGCUGAGAGGUCGAACGGCCACAUUGGGACUGAGACACGGCCCAAACUCCUACGGGAGGCAGCAGUAAGGAAUUUUCGGCAAUGGAGGAAACUCUGACCGAGCAAUGCCGCGUGAACGAUGAAGUAUUUCGGUACGUAAAGUUCUUUUAUUAGGGAAGAAAAGAUGGUGGAAAAACCAUUAUGACGGUACCUAAUGAAUAAGCCCCGGCUAACUAUGUGCCAGCAGCCGCGGUAAUACAUAGGGGGCAAGCGUUAUCCGGAAUUAUUGGGCGUAAAGGGUGCGUAGGCGGUUAAAUAAGUUUAUGGUCUAAGUGCAACGCUCAACGUUGUGAUGCUAUAAAAACUGUUUAGCUAGAGUUGGAUAGAGGCAAGUGGAAUUCCGUGUGUAGUGGUAAAAUGCGUAAAUAUACGGAGGAACACCAGAAGCGAAGGCGGCUUGCUGGGUCUUAACUGACGCUGAGGCACGAAAGCGUGGGGAGCAAACAGGAUUAGAUACCCUGGUAGUCCACGCCCUAAACGAUGAGUACUAAACGUUGGAUAAAACCAGUGUUGAAGUUAACACAUUAAGUACUCCGCCUGAGUAGUACGUACGCAAGUAUGAAACUUAAAGGAAUUGACGGGACUCCGCACAAGCGGUGGAUCAUGUUGUUUAAUUCGAAGGUACCCGAAAAACCUCACCAGGUCUUGACAUGCUUUUGCAAAGCUGUAGAAAUACAGUGGAGGUUAUCAGAAGCACAGGUGGUGCAUGGUUGUCGUCAGCUUGUGUCGUGAGAUGUUGGGUUAAGUCCCGCAACGAGCGCAACCCUUGUUGUUAAUUGCCAUCAUUAAGUUGGGGACUUUAGCAAGACUGCCAAUGAUAAAUUGGAGGAAGGUGGGGACGACGUCAAAUCAUCAUGCCCCUUAUGACCUGGGCUACAAACGUGAUACAAUGGCUGUUACAAAGGGUAGCUAAAGCGUAAGCUUUUGGCGAAUCUCAAAAAAGCAGUCUCAGUUCGGAUUGAAGUCUGCAACUCGACUUCAUGAAGUUGGAAUCGCUAGUAAUCGCGAAUCAGCAUGUCGCGGUGAAUAC